rnacentral:misc_RNA from 1 species
CUGCUGUGACUCAAUAGUUAUUCAUGCAACAGAAGAUGGCAUGCAUUCCGCAGCAUGUGCGUGUAUGCAUAAUUGGUGCAGGUGUAGCGGGUCUUAGUGCUGCUCAGAAGCUUAUUCAGGCUGGAGUAAAAGACAUUGUUGUCCUUGAGGCUCAGGAUAGAAUAGGUGGAAGAGUCCACACAAUAGAACAUGGUGAUCAUAUCUUGGAGUUUGGCGCACACUGGAUCCAUGGAGAGGAAGGGAAUGUCGUCUAUGAGUGGGCCUCACAAAACAACCUUGUGGAUGAUGAACCCACUCUUACGCAGACAGGUAUUGGUGAAACAGUAUUUGUCAGAGAAAAUGGAGAAGUUGUACCACCAGAGAUGAUCGAAGCUUUUGAAGUGGCUUUUGCAAAUCUCGAGGAACAGGCAGAGAAGGACUUCCCUUCCUACCCACACUCUGUUGGGCAGUACUAUAAAGAACAAUUCAAGUCACUCAACCAGUGGAGUGUCAUUGGAGAGGAAUUGCUGAACUGGAGGGGAAAUUUUCAGAACUGCAUUGAUGGUACUGAUUCCUGGUACGAUUGUUCAGCAAAAGGACAUACUUGCUACAAGGAAUGCCCUGGAAACAUUGUGGUCAACUGGAAAAAUGGAUAUCGAUCCCUCCUGAACCACCUUAAGGAGGCAUUGCCCAAGUCUUGUCUUCAUUUGAAUUCAGCUGUAAAAACCAUUGACUGGCAUGGAUCUUUGGCUACAUCUACCAGCUGCAAUUUAACAUUAUGGUCCGGCCAGGUAAUAAGAGCAGACCAUGUUGUCUUCACCCCAUCUUUAGCAGUCUUGAAAGCAGUGGCUGAAGAAAUGUUCAACCCUCCAUUACCAAUUGAGAAGUCAAGAGCCAUUGAGGGCUUAGGGAUUGGCGUUGUGGACAAGAUAUUCAUCCAGUUCCCACAGCAAUGGUGGGAGACAGGUUGUGAUGGUUUCAGCUUUUUAUACGACCAGGAAACCCCAGAAACAAUAACAAAGGAGAACUGGGAGUAUGGAAUUUUAGGCUUCUAUGAGGUGUUCAAACAACCCAACAUGCUUUGUGGGUGGAUCACAGGACCAGCAGCUCGUAUGAUGGAGCAAGUCCAUGAAGAGGAAGUGAUGAAGCGUUGUGUUUCCUUCCUGAGGAAACGUUUAGCAUCCAAGUUCCAAAUUCCGGAUGCACUUUGGGGAUCAAGAUCAACAUGGGGUCAGAAUCCUUGGGUAAAAGGGUCUUACAGUUUCCGCAGCAUCAAGUCUGAAGCUAUGAAUGUUUGGGCUGCAGACCUAGCAUCCCCUUUGAUUAAUGCAAAGGAUGUUCCUGUCGUCUGCUUUGCGGGAGAGGCAACCCAUGACUACUUUUAUUCUACGGUUCAUGGUGCUGUCGAAACAGGCAGGAGAGAAGCGGAAAGGUUGAUCCAGUAUUUGUCGAGAAGUCAAGGCAAUCAAGAACCAGCAUUAUCAGCAGCAACCUCUAGUCAGAGAAAAGACAUACCUUCUACAGUACAAAACUCUGUCACAGAGAACUCAUCCCAGAGUGGAGAAAUAAACAGGGCAGUUAAAGAUGUUCCAGUGCACGUGAAAGUGUGCAUAGUAGGUGGAGGAGCAGCUGGACUUGCAGUGGCUCAGAGACUCGCAGAGGCAGGAGAGAAAAGUCUUCUGGUACUCGAAGCCCAGGGAGAGCUAGGGGGAAGGAUACAUACAUUCAGACACGGAGAUCAUUUGAUUGAGUUGGGAGCCCAUUGGAUGCAUGGAGAGGAGAGGAAUGUUGUUGCACAUAUUGCAAAAUCCAUUAAUGAAGCUGAUAAGACUGUAACACUUACACAGACAGGCCUGGGUGACAAUCGCGUGUUCAUGAAAGAGGGAGGGAAAGUCGUUGAUCCUGCCAUUUGGAAAGCCUGUCUGAAUGCCUUGAUCAAGAUUGAGAAAGAGAGUAAAGAUGCCCUUAGGAGGUACCAAGGUUCCUUUGGUGAUUUUCUGUAUGAGCAAUUUCAGAAAGUGAAUAAGUGGGGUGAACUUGGCUAUGACAUCCUAGCCACUUUUGAGAAAUAUCAGAACUUCCACAAUGCCUGUGACUCGUUGGACCAGCUGGGUGCCCGGGGAUUUCUGGAAUACAAAGGGGAAGAAGACCCUGGGAACCCCUUCCUUAACUGGAAAAAGGGAUUCUCUACUUUAAUUGAUUUUCUGAGAGAAAAAGUGCCAACAAGCAAGAUUUGGACCAACUCUCCUGUUGUAAGUGUGGAGUGGGGCACUGUCACACCAUCAUCUCCAAGCUGUUGCAGAAUUAGGUUGGCAUCUGGACGUAUCAUUGAAGCUGACCAUGUGGUGUACACUCCAUCCUUGGGUGUGUUGAAAGCAACACAUCUUCAGACAUUUACACCUCAGUUACCAAUGAAGAAAGCUCAGGCAAUUGAAGGUCUCUGCCUAGGGUUAGUUAACAAGAUCUUCAUAGAAUUCCCAUACCGCUGGUGGCCAAGUGACUGCGAUGGAUUUACACUUGUUCCUGACAUUGAUAUUCGGAGGACACCCAUAACCCCAGAGAAUUGGCACGAGCAUCUCAUGGGAUUCUACAGUACUCACCGACAGCCAAGAAUGAUGUGCAUUUGGGUUGGGGGAGAAUGUGCACGUGCCAUGGAGGUUUUACCUGAAGAGACUGUUGCUAAAAGAUGCAUUUCUGUUCUACGAAAAUACCUUGGGAGGACAUACACUGUCCCUGAUCCAAUAUUUUGUAAAAGGAGUAAAUGGGGAAGUAACAAAUGGACUCGUGGAUCCUACAGCUUUAGAAGUAUCAAGACUGACAGCAUGAACGUAUGGGCAGAGGACCUGUCUGAACCUGUGACCAAUAUUCAUGGCAAACCUCUGCUGUGUUUUGCGGGAGAAGCCACGAGCUCUGAAUUCUUCUCUACAGUCCACGGUGCUGUUGAAAGUGGAUGGCGUGAAGCUGAAAGAAUCUUAAGAUACAUCAACAGCAUGCCCUCUAACCCUUCAGGCAGACAGACGACAACAAGGGAAAAGUACAGUGUCAUCAUAGUGGGAUGUGGAGCCUCUGGCAUUGGGGCUGCAAGAGAGCUAACUGCCAAAGGAAUUCAAUCUGUUCUCAUUCUGGAAGCCAAUGAUCGCGUUGGUGGAAGAGUCAACACCAUCCGAACCCCCCCACAAGGUGUAGUCGAUCUUGGAGCCCAGUGGAUACACGGGGAGGAAGGAAACGUCAUCUACCAGUAUGCAAAGCCAAGAGGACUUAUACAUCACAAACUGUCAGUUGAUGGGAAAGGUGAAUUUUACAUGGAGAGUGGAAAGCUGAUACCAGAAGAUAUAGUGAAAGAGGUGGUGGAUCUGCUCGAUGAAGCUGACAGUGAUUGUCAAGAGUUUGCCCACAAGGGAAUAGCGGCUCCACCUGAGCUGUCAGUUGGGAGGGUUUUCAGGGAGAAGUUCCUGCAGUACAUGAAUGACUCAGAAACGGAACAUCCAGAUCGAAGGAAACUGAAGGAGGCUAUGUAUCAUUGGGUCCUAAGGUGGCAAAGGAUAGAUAAUUCUUGUAACUCAAUAAAAGAAUUGUCGGCAAACUGUUGGGGCAAUUACAUUUUCUGUGAUGGGAAUGAGAACAUGAACCCCAAGGCUGGAUACAUUUCUGUUCUCGGUUCCAUUUUAGAAAAGUCAAGAGCUAAUUUACGUCUGAACUCGGAAGUUUCCAGCAUAAAUUAUGCAACAGAGGUUGUAGUUAAGAAUGGUUCUCUCAUUCGUCCUGAUGGCUGCACAUUGCCUGUGAUUGUGAAAUGCAGAGAUGGCAAAGAGUUUGAGGCAGAGCACGUCAUGGUGACGCCAUCAAUAGGCUACCUGAAAGCCCACCCUAAUCUCUUCUCACCUCCUCUUCCUCAGGGAUUGCAGAAAGCCAUUACAUCCACUGGUUUUGGAACAAUAGACAAGAUCUUUUUGGAGUACGAGCAGCCCUGGUGGCCCGAAGACUGUGAAGGUAUUCAGAUAGUGUGGACCAAAGAUAUUCCAGACUUUGAUAAAGUUAUGCAGAGGUCACAACUGGUUGAUGGCACUGUGGAAGAGAUGAAGCAGUUCUGGGUGCGUGCCAUCUCUGGGUUUGAUCCAGUGUUCAACCAGAAAGCCAUGCUGUGUGGCUGGAUUGGUGGGGCUGAGGCAGAGUACAUGGAGACGCUGUCUGAGAGGGAGGUGGGCGAGGCUUGCACACAGCUGCUAUGCCAUUUCCUUGGAAGGAGUGAUAUCCCAAAUCCCAAAAGAGUAUUCAGAUCGCAGUGGGCAACUGACCCCUUCUUCCGAGGAUCCUACUGCUACCAUAGCCUGGGUUGUGAGUGCCUUAAGGAGGACAAGGAAGAGAACCAUCUGAAUACUCCAGUGUGUGCUGCGACGGGCGAUGGUCGGAAGGUCCCUGUGUUGGUGCUAGCUGGAGAAGCUAAUAGCAAAUGCUACUAUUCUACUGUCCACGGAGCUCUACAGAGUGGUAUGAAACAAAUUUCCCAUUACAUCCAAAGUACCACAAGACUGCACCAGGAUCAGAACCUAUUAAAGAGUAAAAUGUAAUGAAAUUCCACAUCCACAAGUGCAGACAACAGGUAAUAAUUGCAUGGAGAGUAAUUACAGAUUGCAUUUGAGGCUUUUUUUGGCAGCUGUGCAGUCCGCCAAACAGGCUGCCUCUGUAGGGAUGCCACCCCGGGUUAAUAAAUAUUUUCUGCUGAUAAUGUGUUUCAUUACCAGAAGCUAAAGUAGGUCUGAGUUUUGUUACAAAUGAAAGGGAAAAAAUUCACUGAAAAGUACUUGCUUUAAUUACAAGCUUACAUAAUCAAUAUACAAGAUUCAUUUAUAAAGAACCCUUCAGUUAUAAUAAUUAUUAAUUUGUAAAAAAAAAAAUCACCUGGCAGUUAUUCUUCCUACUCAUAAUGACUGUUUUAUGACUAAACUAAUAUUUACAAUAUAUAAUUUACAAGUUAUUAAUGUUUAACAUAAUAUUCAUUUGAUUGUGCAAAUUGUUCUUUUUUUAUAAAUUAAGUAGAAUUUCUAGCUGCCUACAUAUAACUAUGUAUCAACAAAAAGCCUUAAUAAACUUUUACAAGAUCUAUCUGCAACUAGAUCUUACUAAGUCUCAACCAUUCACAGGAUCUACAGAUUUUCACCUUUCAUAUACACAUCAACACAGUCUGGUUGUUAUAUUAACACAAUUGUACAUAACAUUAAAAAAAAAAAAUAAAACAAAAGAAAAAAAAA